GAUGAACGCUGGCGGCGUGCCUAAUACAUGCAAGUCGAGCGAAUGGAUUAAGAGCUUGCUCUUAUGAAGUUAGCGGCGGACGGGUGAGUAACACGUGGGUGACCUGCCCAUAAGACUGGGAUAACUCCGGGAAACCGGGGCUAAUACCGGAUAAUAUUUUGAACUGCAUUGUUCAAAAUUGAAAGGCGGCUUCGGCUGUCACUGAUGGAUGGACCCGCGUCGGAUUAGCUGGUUGGCGAGGUAACGGCUCACCAAGGCAACGAUGCGUAGCCGACCUGAGAGGGUGAUCGGCCACACUGGGACUGAGACACGGCCCAGACUCCUACGGGAGGCAGCAGUAGGGAAUCUUCCGCAAUGGACGAAAGUCUGACGGAGCAACGCCGCGUGAGUGAUGAAGGCUUUCGGGUCGUAAAACUCCGUUGUUAGGGAAGAACAAGUGCUAGUUGAAUAAGCUGGCACCUUGACGGUACCUAACCAGAAAGCCACGGCUAACUACGUGCCAGCAGCCGCGGUAA
rnacentral:rRNA from 1 species